CCUACGGGUGGCAGCAGUGAGGAAUAUUGGUCAAUGGGCGAGAGCCUGAACCAGCCAAGUCGCGUGAGGGAGUACUGCCCUAUGGGUUGUAAACCUCUUUUGUCGGGGAGCAAAAGCCGGACGUGUCCGGCUGUGAGAGUACCCGAAUAAAAAGCAUCGGCUAACUCCGUGCCAGCAGCCGCGGUAAUACGGAGGAUGCGAGCGUUAUCCGGAUUUAUUGGGUUUAAAGGGUGCGCAGGCGGAUUUUUAAGUCAGCGGUAAAAUCGUGGGGCUCAACCCCAUCCAGCCGGUGAAACUGGGGAUCUAGAGUGUGCGAGAGGUAUGCGGAAUGCGUGGUGUAGCGGUGAAAUGCAUAGAUAUCACGAAGAACCCCGAUUGCGAAGGCAGCAUACCGGUGCACAACUGACGCUCAGGCACGAAAGCGUGGGUAUCGAACAGGAUUAGAUACCCUAGUAGUC
rnacentral:rRNA from 1 species